GACGAACGCUGGCGGCGUGCUUAACACAUGCAAGUCGAACGGAAAGGCCCUGCUUUUGUGGGGUGCUCGAGUGGCGAACGGGUGAGUAACACGUGAGUAACCUGCCCUUGACUUUGGGAUAACUUCAGGAAACUGGGGCUCAUACCGGAUAGGAGCUCCUGCUGCAUGGUGGGGGUUGGAAAGUUUCGGCGGUUGGGGAUGGACUCGCGGCUUAUCAGCUUGUUGGUGGGGUAGUGGCUUACCAAGGCUUCGACGGGUAGCCGGCCUGCGGGGGUGACCGGCCACAUUGGGACUGAGAUACGGCCCAGACGCCUACGGGAGGCAGCAGUGGGGAAUAUUGCAGAAUGGGCGGAAGCCUGAGGCAGCAACGCCGCGUGCGGGAUGACGGCUUUCGGGUUGUAAACCGCUUUCGCCUGUGACGAAGCGUGAGUGACGGUAAUGGGUAAAGAAGCACCGGCUAACUACGUG
rnacentral:rRNA from 1 species